rnacentral:lncRNA from 10 species
GCCUGAGGGGCGAGAGCCCCCAAGGCUGUGGGUAUGAGGCCGGGGCCCUGCACCGGAAGGGAGGGCGGAAGCCACGGGACGUGGAGCAGAUGGUGAGGAUAGUGGGGAGGUAGCAGCAGAGGAUGACCCGAGGCAAAAGUGCAAGUGAAGAAAAGUCGCCUUGCCGGGCAGAGGUACGGGACCAAGGCGCCUCCUCUGGGCUGAGGAGUUAGAGGGAAGAAAAUGGCGCCCUGUCAUGAGGGCGCGAGGUCCGAGUUGAGGGGAGAAGACUGAGGGACACAGAAGUGGCCGAAGUGAGGGCGCUGAGGUCAGCCUGAGCUGAGAGGGCCGGCAGAUCACGCCGCAGCCGAAGUGAACGAACUCGAGUGAGCUCUUCUCUUUUUCAGGAAAUUACUCCAGGAUUUGAAUCAUCACAAGAGAUUCACCAGAGGAUUUUAUACACUUGGGCUGUGGCAGCAGACUAAUUACAUCACAGCACUAGAGCUGAGAUACUGGCUGGGUGGAUUUCAGCAAAUUUCCAAGGGCACAUGACAUGUGGGCACAAAAGCCGGGAUUUCACACCAGGGGAUAAAGUAUAUCAGAAAUGAAGGCUGGGGGCAGAAUAAUAGACAAUAUCUCCCCGGAUACUUUUUAUCAGCAAGACAGGAAUGUUCCCCAAAUGACACUGCUUAAGAGAACUUUGAGGAGAACUGAGGGCAAGAUACAAGCCAUGGUUCUAUACAGAUAAGUCUACGGAAGCUGCAGAAAUAACAUUCCAGAUCCCCAGGAAUCCACCCACCCACCCCUCCGACUUUGGCCGAACACCAUGGCUGGCUGCCGUGUGAAGAAUGGACUGUAGGGGGUGCCAGAGUGGCUGUGGGAAACAUCCCCUAGAAAUCUAGAAUUCAAAGCACUUACUUUGAGUGAUAUAUCCACAAGAAAGAGCCUUCUGUGCUAAAAGCAAAA